rnacentral:rRNA from 1 species
GUCUUUUUGAGUUUAAUUUAAGGUCUGAUCUGCCCACUGAUAAUAUUUAAGGGCCGCAGUAUUCUGACUGUGCAAAGGUAGCAUAAUCAUUAGUCUUUUAAUUGAGGGCUUGUAUGAAUGAUUGGACGAGAUAUAAUCUGUCUCAUAAAAAUUUAAGUAGAAUUUUAUUUUUUAGUUAAAAAGCUAAAAUAAGUUUAAAAGACGAGAAGACCCUAUAGAUCUUUAUAAUUUAUUUAUUAAUUUUUUUAGGUUAUUUUUUAAUUUUAUAAAUUAAAUUAUUUUGUUGGGGUGACAGUGAAAUUUAAAAAACUUUCAUAAUUUUUAUUACAUUGAUUUAUGAAAAAUUGAUCCAUUUUUAGUGAUUAAAAAUUUAAGUUACCUUAGGGAUAACAGCGUAAUUAUUUUGGAGAGUUCUUAUCGAUAAAAUAGUUUGCGACCUCGAUGUUGGAUUAAGAUUAAUUCUGGGUGUAGCAGUUCAGGUUAUUAAGUCUGUUCGACUUUUAAUUUCUU